GGUAUAUAGCUCAGUGGUAGAGUGCUUGCCUUGCAUGCACAAGGUCCUGGUUUCAAUCCCCAGCACCA
rnacentral:tRNA from 1 species